rnacentral:misc_RNA from 1 species
GAACCUUGACUGGAACGUGGCCAGUACCCCAUGCUCAAUACCUGGACCAUAGACUCUCACCUUCGACGCAUCUGGUGCCCCUGCGACUUUCAAAACAAAAGGCGAUCCAGGGACGUGUUGUCCAGCAUAUUUGACAGUCAACGCGUGUCUGCCCGCUUCUUGUGGUUUUACAUUCAGGGUGAAAGUAGCAUCGCCGUGAUCGUAUAAUUCGC